rnacentral:rRNA from 1 species
UACGUAGGGUGCAAGCGUUGUCCGGAAUUAUUGGGCGUAAAGAGCUCGUAGGCGGUCUGUCGCGUCUGCUGUGAAAACUCAGGGCUUAACCCUGAGCUUGCAGUGGGUACGGGCAGACUAGAGUGCGGUAGGGGAGACUGGAAUUCCUGGUGUAGCGGUGAAAUGCGCAGAUAUCAGGAGGAACACCGGUGGCGAAGGCGGAUCUCUGGGCCUGUCCUGACGCUGGAGGCGACGAAA